ACAAUUUGAUGACGUGUAGGCGGCGCCCAUUUUCAUGCACACGCCCGGACAUGUUCAAGGCCAGACCCAGGCCAGUGCUCUCUGUGACUGCAGCUGCACGUGGAAGUGCUCUUUAAUAAGAGUUGGAAGAUCUGUGAAGAAUUCAAGAGGAUAACAACAGUUAGCCUUGAAUCGACCUUUCUGGCCAAGCUUGACCAAUGCACCCCGAAACUGAUGGCCUUGACCCAAUCAAAAGGAGGAGCUGCAGGACUGAAGAUGAGGCACAUUAAGGACAUGCUUCUUGAGGACAACACAGUUGAAAGGCGGAGAGAAGUUGCCAUUCGCUAUCUCAUAGUUUACCUCGGAGAGAAGGAGGAAGAACUUUUCAAACAGUACAGUGACGUGGAGGAGCUCGACACAGACCUUCUGAUGCAAGUGAUGAAGAUUGCCAUCAUCGGUGACCGUGCAACCAUCGUAGUCGAGGGAACCAAAGUCCUGCAGAGGUUUGAUGUCGCCAGAUCCUGUGCUUUGCUGAUGGGAGUAAUAUAUGCUCUAAACCUUAGGAUGACCUCUGUUCUGAGGGUGUUAGUGUGUUUUGAACCUGAAUAUUUAGUGCUGUCUUUUGAUGGAUGCUGUUCCUCCUCAAAAGCUUCUGAGUGUAUGUUGCAAUGUAGCCUACAGAUGCUGCUGUUUUCUGCAGUUUCAACGAUUCAGUGUUGUUGUAAUUUUAAUAAAUGUUUCUGAUUAAUUUAAAUAUUACUGUCUGAAUUUCUGUUCUUUUUGAGGGCCAGGAAAGAGUCCCUUAGCUGCUGUCUGUUUGCCAGGUUUUAUUAUAGGACAGGGCUCAACUUAACUCUUGCAGAGAUUGACUUUAUUAAGUUCAUGUUACUUAAAAAUGUAUUUUACUGAGGCCUAAAAGCUAAUUCACCAUACUUAAAACAUUAUGUUGGAUCAACUUAAAUACUUGCAUUCAUGUUGACAGUUAUUAAGUUCAUGCUGCUUAGAAAUGCUUUUUAUUGUGGCCAAAAAGCCACUUGACCAUACUCAAAAAAUUGCGUUGAAUUGAUGUAAUUCUGCCUGUUGGCUUAACUUAAAAA